CACAGCUGGCCAGCAGGCGGGGCCUCCGUGUCUGUGGCGGGGAUGUCACCUUUCUUCGCAGGAAGAAACACUCUGUCUUCCUGCUUUGAGGACAGCUGAAGUCUUGCCACUUCUUCUGGAUGCUCUGACCAUCAGUAAGAGACACGGUCUGACUUUGUUACCCCGGCUGGAGUGCAGUGGUGCAAUCAUGGCUCACUGCAGCCUUAACCUCCUGGGCUCAAGUGAUCCUCUCGCCAAGGCUAGGAUAAGUAGCUAGGACUACAGAUGCGCCCCAUCACGCCCAGCUAAUUUUACAACUUCUGUAGAGAUGGAGUGUUGCUGGGUUGCCCAGGCUGGUCUUGAAUUCCUGGGCUCAAGCGAUCCUCCUGUGUCCGGAAUUGGUGGGUUCUUGGUCUCACUGACUUCAAGAAUGAAGCCGCGGACCCUCGCGAGUCUGUAUCCACCAGCUACUCUUCCAGAUUCAUGAGGCAAGGCCUGCCUGCUCACCUGGCUGGCCCCAAGCACCUCUUCAACCUGUUGCCACCGUCCUGCCUUGCUGCCCUUCUCAGCUCAUCCAGCAGGGUCUCCAAGUCGUGGAAACAGAAGCACAUAUACACACAUGCUCAUAUGUACAUGCCCACAGUCACAUAAGCACACCGAGAAACACCAUCGCAGACAUGUUCUCACAAGCACAUGUGCAUAACACUCACUACCCCUCACGCGUAUACACAUUAAUACACACACUCAUGCACACUCAGUCUUACACACACAGACACACAGCCAUAAUCACUGUUGUUGGUUGAAUUGUGCCCCCCCAUCCCCACCAAAAAGAUAAGUUGGAGUCCUAACCCCCAGUACCUGGGGAUGUGACCGUAGUUGGAAAUAGGGUGUUUGUAGAUGUAAUCAAAUUAAGAUGAGAUCUUACUGGAUUAGAGUGGGCCUUAAAUCCAGUGACUGGUGUCCUUAUAAGGAGAAAAAGAUUUGAAAACAGAGACAUGGAGACACAGAGCAGAAGGCCAUGUGAUGAUGGAGUCAGAGAUUGGAGUGAUGCAGCUAUGAGCCGAGAAAUACCAAGGUGCUGGCAGCCCCCAGAAGCAAGGAGAGAGGCAAGGAACAAUCUCCAUCAGAGCCUCUGGAAGAAACAGACUCUGCCAACACCUUGAUUUCAGACUUUUGGCCUCCUUCACUGUGCGAGAAUACGUUUCUGUUGUUUUAAACUACUGAGUCACCAAGUCUGUGGUACUGUGUUAUGGCAGCCCCGGCAACAAAUCCAAUCACACACACACACACACACACACACACACACACACACACACACACACACACAGCUGGCUCCAGGCUCAGUGAUGAGCUCAGAGGAGUUCCCCUUGGGAGCUGCUCUUUCUCUGUCUUCCUUCCUUAGUGAUUGGUCCAGUGGAUCCACAAAAGCUCAUGGCCCAGAGCAGGAGCCCAGUCAUUUUUAAUUCCUCUUCCCUGGAGUUCUUAACCAUGCGUUGCCCUCAAAAUCUGCUCUCAAGAUUUGGGUUGCCAUAUUUAGGAGCACCAGAAAACAUACAGGAAUGCUGUGUCUGCUUGCAUCAUAUUAAUUAAAAACUGGAAAUAACCUAAAUGUCCCAGAAUAGGUACAUAAACUGUGGCAUAUCCACUUAAUGGAAUACUACUCAGCAAUACAAAAGGAAAACCUAGUGUUACUUGAGCAACAUGGAUGAACUUCACAGACAUAAUAUUGCACAGCACGAGGCAGACACAAAAGUGUGCAUAUGCUAUGAUUCCAUUUACAUGAGAUUCAAGAACAGGCAAAGCAGAUCUAUGGGGAUAGAAGUCAGAAUAGUGGUUACCUCUGGAAGGUGGAAUUGACUGGGAGGGGCUUCAGGGAACCUCCUGGGGUGCUGAAAACAUUCUGUGCUUGCACCGGGUGGUGGUUAUGUGGGCAUUACAUAAAAUUCACCAAGCUGCACCCUUAAUGAUUUGUACAAUUUGAUGCACAAAUCUAACAUCUCAAGAAGAAUAAAUUUUACAAAGUACCUAAGAAGCAA
rnacentral:lncRNA from 10 species